AAUGGGUCAGGCAAUAAGCAAGACUGUAGCUGUUGCAGAGAUCAUUAAGAGAAGAAUUCCUCGUCUGCAUCAAGAUGCUGCUAUCAGCUCAGUGAGCAUCACAGAUGUAUGGGAACCUAUUGAAGAGGGCCUAUUGCCUGUGGAGCAGACUCGGCAUGUCUCAAUGAUUUCAAUCACCUUGUCAACAACAGAACUGAACAAGGACUCUCCAGGGUAUCAAGCACCUUCUGAUAUUCAGCAGACUAAUUACUACAACAAUAACAACAACUACGCCCCACGUUAUAGUUACCAGCCUCGACAGCAGCAACCACCACCUAGACAAGCACAAGCAGUUUUCAAUGCUGGUAAUGAAGAUUCAUAUGACCGAGGUCGUGGUCGAGGCCGAGGGCGUGGUAGAGGCAGGGGACGUGGUUGGAACAGAGGUGGAUAUACAAAUUACCAAGAUGGAUAUGAUAACUAUCAAGAAAAUGGUGGGUACUCAAACUGGGGGCGAGGUGGAGGCCGUGGUGGCUGGGGAUAUCGUGAUUCUGGAUAUGGAAGAGUCAGGGGUGGAGGUGGCAGAGGUUAUGGUUAUGGUGGUGGACGUGGACGGAUGGGCAACCGUCCAAGGGGUGGCAAUAACAACCAGGCUUAGUUGUUGGUUGGAUCUCUAGUUUGCUAUACCAGGGCGAGAGUUACGGAAACUUGAUGAGGCACAAAUAUCUGAGUUCGUGGAGAACAAUAUGUGGAGUCCGGAUUAUCCAACACUGGUUUACAAGAAAGAUUGAUCAUCUAUGGAUGCUUGCAAAGCUUCAUUUUUUCAUGUUUCUCGCAACAUCAGGAAGGGCGUGAUGGAUCAAAUACGAUAAUGGACAUUUUGUGACAUGAUGCAUGGGAUCAUGUUAAAUUUAACAUCCAGUAAUAUCCCAUUCAUCAACAUUUGAUUGACUGAUGACUUCUUGAUAUUAUAGCUUUUAUUGAGUAGUCCAUAAGUUGGUUGUCUGUAAAAGUGAAUAAACUUCCAGUUCUGACUUCGAGCUUCGUCAACGCAGACGAUGUAGUCUUAUGGGCUGUUGCUGCACAAAUGUACUAUAAAUUGCCCUGUGAUGUAGUUGUUGUGUAGAAGUGUUUGUGAAGUUCUGAUAGUUCUCUGUACUCUAUUUGACUUGUACAAUAAAG
rnacentral:misc_RNA from 1 species